UUACUCUGAGGAAGCUGACGCCCCCGUUUCAAAAGUAGCUUCUGCCCGGGUGGGUCAAGGUUCUGGCAAUAUGUUUUUACAAAUGCUGUGACAACAUUAGCCGAUAUCUAGAGUGCAGAAACAUGAGAAAAGACCCAUUCGUUGCCUUCCUGGGCCUUCUCGCCUUUGGUGGCGUCGCUAUACUGGCCUAUUUCUCUGACGUAGCAUUCACUGAUAAUAGUUCAAAAACUCUGACGUUGGGGAGGCGAUUAGAUGUACCAGUAAACGUAGACCCUGUAAAUCGUGAAGAUCAAAUAGAAGACAACCACAGUGCAUUGGUUGACAGUCAAAAGCAGUCCUCCAAAGAUUGUAUCCCUAAGAAGCAUUUCGUCUGGAUCAAGGUUCACAAGGCUGGCUCCCAGACCACCACGCCAUUGUUCGAGAGAUUCGCUUUCAACAACCAUCUCAAGGUCAGUGAGGGUCAUUGUUGUCUCCGUAUGAAAAAGUGACGAGGGGUAACUUUCAAGUCACAAGAUAUCUUGAUAAUCAAAUAAUAAAAACAUAUCAAAGUAGCCAAAACGCUGGUGAACUUCAAAAACCUUUAUGCAAUUAACAUUGAUAUGCAGAUUAAAUCCAGAUUUUAAUCAUAACUUCUUUUGUUAUGUUUCUGCGUUAUCAUACGUUAAGGUUAAACUUUUGGUUCACAUUUAUGAUUCGUUACUCGAGUCACGUGUCUCUAAGUCACGUGAUCAGAGUAACUGAAUCAUCACUCCUGAAGAAGGUCGACGGAAAUGCGACUGAAAAUUCGAGGUAUUACUCGGGGCCCAUCGGGGCCCAACCAUCAGCUGGCCGCUGCCGCCCAGAGAGGGAGAUUAUUUUCAGACCAAAGAUGGCGGACUGUUCGACGCUCUUUAUUCACACAGUCGUUACAACAAGACGUGGUUGGAGGCUCAUUUCCCGGACGACACGGCGUACCUGGCUAUCGUUAAAGAACCCUUCACACACUUUAAGAGUUGUCUCCACUAUUACGCCAUACCACGAAGAAUCAAAAUCAAAUCAAAAACUGAAAAGAACCCUGUUAAGAUAUUCCUGAAGGAUCCUUGGAAAUACAAGACUGAGGCCAUGUCUCAAGGAAUCCGUUGGGACAAAACCAGAAAUGCACAGCUCUUUGAUUUGGGUUUCCCCAUGGAAAAGUCGGAUGACAUGGAAUGGACAGAGAAAUACAUCGCUCAGUUAGACCGGGACUUCUUACUAGUUAUCAUAUUAGAAUAUCAUGACGAGUCCCUCAUAUUGUUGAAAAGAUUGAUGUGUUGGGAACUUUACGAUAUUCUCCUGGGAGCUGAAAACCGAAACAGUCGACCGUACAGCUACAAGUAUUACAAACCGACGCCAGAGGAGGAGGAGACCUACAGAAAGUACGCGGCGGCAGAAUACGCCAUGUACCAACGGUUCAACCAAUCGCUGUGGGAGAAAAUCUCACAACAGAGCCCGGAUUUCUUUCAAGAGGUGGACAAUUACAGAAAAGUCACCACCCAAGUUCGCGAAUUCUGCCAAGGGGGGAAAAGAAGGAAUUAGUCAUCUCAGCUUCAGCGUGGAACCCCGAGUACAAGCUGCCGCGCAGUUUCUGUAAAGACUUGAAAACGAAUGAUCCGGUAUGGAGGAGUAAGUCAUGGCGGCAGCUGGGAUACCCGCCCCGCAGACCGCCGGGGGACCUCUUCAACGCCAGAGUCUAUCUUGGCAAGUUCCUACAGGCAGCGAGAAAUGACUCAGCAGAGAGGGAGCACAGCUGACUUACUCCUGAGUACUGAAGGAAAAGCCUCGAGAAAGCCUAGGAGCCUAGGAAGAACACCGUGAUUUGACGCGUAAUUGUUUGUCCGACGUGUGUCUUCUGUUUAUAAUCACUAGUUUAUGCUCGUGUGUCGUUUGUAUAACUAAACGUGUAUCCUUGAGGCAAACAUUGUAAUGUUCCAACAAUUGAUAUUCUAUUGUAAUGUUCGAAGCUAUUUUAGUCUAAGUUGUGCGACAAAUACAACAAUAGAGCAAUAAACAUUAAGGAGUUUUCAUUUUCUGUAUGUCGUUAUUAUACAUGCAUGUGACAAUAAAUGUUAUAGUCUAAUCCUCAAUAUACCAGGGGUCAUAAGUUGAAAGAUAAAUUUGCUGCAAUUUUCUUUUGUGAAAGAGGAAUGGCAAGUUGACAAAUAUCUUAAAUUCUGUUUUCAUACUGUGCUCAUAUUAUCAAUGGCUAUUUCUCCAAUUAAAAACCCAUGAUCACAAUGAAUGAACUUUGAAUAAACUCUAAUAUUGUUCAACAGUUGUACACGGUACAAUGUAUAGCCGAACAAUAACAAAACGUACCAUACAAUAGUACCGGUCUAUUCUACAGAACUAUAACUACAGCAAUAUGGACGUAAUGGCGUAUAGUCAUGAUGUUUACUUAAUGUUUA